AGUUUUCUAAAUGCUUUUAGUAUUAAGUGUAUAUAUUUAGAUUGUCUAAUCUCUUUAAACAAGAGUGAGUGAAAGAUUGUCUAAUCCCUUUAAAUAUGCUUUCACUUGGCUUUAAUCUUCUUUUUAUCCGUAAAAUAUAGUUGUAUAUAUCAGUUAUAAAGUCUAAGUGAUGAUAUAUUGAGGUUGUUUAAAGACUGUGUAAUCUAAUUAUAUAUUAUGCUAUGUCAU
rnacentral:lncRNA from 1 species